UGUUCAGGAAAGUUGAUGAGGUUGGUGCAAGCUAGAGCUGUGCUAUAGGGAUUCAAGUGUAAGUCAUAGCUGGAAUAGUUGACAGUGAUUCUUCUUAUCGAAGAUGAUCUGAUUUGGUAAGAAAUGUUGUGUAAUAUUAGUGGUGGAUUCUAAUUUCAAUACUGUAACCUGGAUGCGAUCCUGUUGCUUUUAGGGGGUUGAAAUGUUCUCUUUCGAAUCAUUUAUUAAAGUUUUCAGGUUUUAAAUUCUUUGAAUUUCACGUUUUAAAUUCUUUUGGUUUUAAAUAAAAAAAAAAUACAGGUUUUCAAAAGUGUUUAAAAAUGGGUUUUAUGUGGUGACGUCAGAAUCCAGGCCCCCGGAUUCCUAGACCGUCACAGUUGGUAUCAGAGCAACAGGUUAUAAGUAUUUGAAAUUAGAAUAUAGAUCAUAGUUUAGGUUUUCUAGAGAAAAAUGUGGUGUAACCUCACAUAGAGGUAUGGUCGGACUAUUCGGGAAUAGUCUAGAGAUGUGAGUGAAGCAUAGAGUCUAGUUAGAUGAUCAAGUUAAGUAUGGAUAUUUAAGGAGAUUAGGAUUCUUAAGUUUAGACAUAUGAUUUCUAGUAUGUUAACUAAUUGAGAUGAUGAAUUGUGGAAAAGGUCAGUAUUAGACCUAUAUAGAAGAGUUUGAUAGUGAAUGAUUGAGUUGAGAAUGGUGAAAAUGCAGAGUUCAGAGUAUUCUGACUAUACUGCAUAUUUGAAAUUGGAUUAUUGUAUUGAUUUAAGGAUGAUAUAAAUGCAUGGUUCAUAGUAUGUUGACCAUGUCAGAUAUUUGGAAGAUGUAUAUUGUUUUGAGUGAAGAUAUGAAGAGUAAGUGUAGAGUAUGAGUUGUAUUGGAUUAGAAGGAGAGAUUGGUAGAUAGAGGUUGAUAGAUGAGAAGUGCCUGAUAGAGAGUAUGUGGAGUUGAGUCCAGUUAUUAGAGGUGAUGUCUGCGAGUAAGUUAGUACGUUAGUCCUCGACAACGAUGUUUUAAGUUAAGCGGGACAAGGCUGGCCCAUAACCCACAGGGCGACAAUUCAGAAAAUCGAAGAUAUGCUACGUGUGUGUUAUGGACUUCACAGGCAACUGGAUGAAGCACGAGAACGUGAACUACAUGGUCCAGAGUUAUUACGGACGAUAACGUCUACGAUGACAUCUUACGAGGCUAUUACGAGUCAAAUCGAUUGAUUAUCGAGAACGUUGAAAGGAUGACAUAAAUCGAAUAACGAUUUUGUGAAGCAGAGUAGAAAUUCGAGGAGACCUUGGCAAUACCUUUCUUCAACCAAAGAUCAUUUAAUUAUUUUCUUUAUCAGUGAGUUAUUAUUAUGAUACUUUUUCAAUAAAUGAGAUCUUCAAUUUCUCAAAUUCUAAGAUGACAUUGAUAUUGACUAUUGGUGUGAGUUGGUAUUGAUUUGAUGGGUGAUAAAGGUUUGAUGUGAAAAGACAGUGAUGUUCCUUGAUAUUGUUUGAUACUCCAUGACAUUCCUUGAUAUUCUUUUAUAUUUCUUGAUAUUCUUGAUAUUUUUUUUACAUUUCUUCACGAUAUUUGAUAUUCCUUGACAAUCUCUGAUAUUCCUUGAUAUUUCUUCCAUCUGAUUGGGAUGAACAACCCUACGUAUAGGGGACACAAGGUAUACCUGUCUGUGUGAUAGGAGUUGGAUGGGACGCCAUCACUUGUGUGUGUUGUGAUUACAAGAAGGUUAGCAACCUUUAGUAGUGUCUAAUGUGGACACGCAACACCAAGUUCAUUUGAUCGUAUUGAUCUCCCAGUCACUCUUGUAUUCCAAUGUGACCUAUUUUGAAAAUAUCUUGUUCCUCCGAAAUUCCCAAAGAUUGAUUCUUGGGAAAUGAAGUUUGCAAUUGUAAAAGUUUUGAUUCUCCUAUUUCUUUAACUGUAAAGGUAUGCCAAGGUUGAUUAAGGGCGGAUGAGCAUGUGAUAUUAUGAAGUGUGUACAAUGAUUUUACAGAUGAUACGUUUUAGUUCUCAUCGCGGAUUCUGAGGACAGAAUCCUUAUAAGGGGGGUAGAAUGUAAUAUCCCAUAUUAUUAAAUUUAGAUUUGAUUAUUAUAAAUCUAUUUGUCUAAAUAUUGUUGUUGGCUGUAGUAUAUAAAAAAUCUAUUUGUCUAAAUAUUAUUGUUGGCUUUAGUUGAAAAGUGAAUUGAUUAUGUGAAUAGCUUUAUAUGAUUACACCUGUUUUGUGGAUUAAUAUGGAUUUUACAAAUAUUGCAUCCUCCUUCUUUCUCUGAUUCCGAGGACGGAAUCCCUAUAAGGAGGGUAGAUUGUAAUGACCCGGAUUUUUUUAAAAAUAUUUUUAUUAGUAUUAAAAGUGAUUUUUCUUUAAAGAAGGGAAUAAGAUUUAAUAUUUUAUUCCAGUUUAAGGAGUUUUCAAAAUUUUAUACUAAACCCCGGGUUAUUGUGUUAUUGAUAAAUGAUUAUAUUUUUAAAACUGAUUUUCAUAUAUUGUUUCGGAAAUUUUAGAUGAUUAUUAUGUGAAUAUAUGUGUGAUGUGAGUAAGUGGUAUUGGUGGAUUUGUUGGUUAAUUAGUUAUGGUUAAUUAUGAGUAUUAUAUGAUUAAUAUAUGAAUUUUUGUGAAUUUUAUAUUAUCUGGUUUAUUGCGUUAACUGCUCAUAUGUGUUCGUAUUUGAGAGAUUUCAAUUUCUAUAUGCUCAGGAGAAAAUAUAGUUUAUUUGGAUAUUUUCAUGCAUAGUGUCGUGAGUUGAUUGAUAUUGGAUAAGAAUAUAUGGAUUAUAGUAAUUGGAUCUUGUUGGUUGAUUGUUGAUUGGGAUAGGAUAACAGGUGGAUAGUCUAAUAAAUAGACGAGACGAUGUCGGAUUUUCGAUAGGAUUCAUAUGAUAAGUGAUUGGUAAUAUGUUAUGUGGAAUAUGACUUGACUAUAUGGUAGAGUCAAAGCAUGAUUACGUGUUAAGUGAUAUGUGAUAAGUUUAAAGGGGUAUAUAAGUGGGUAUCGAUAUACGUGAUAUGUAUAUGCGAUAUAUUGUUUAGUGACUAUAGUAUUAUCUUAUUCUCGUAAAGGAUUUGGACGAGACGUGUACGCUCGAAGACGUCAGAAAGUCGGAAUGGUAUUGCAAAGCGAAUAAGGGAUGAAUCGAGUAAGCGAAGCGAUGUGGCGAAUAGAGUAUAGCUAGAGAUGGUCUAGAGAUUACGAGAUGCAUAGAUUGUGAAAGUUGAAAGAUGAGAAUGAGCUGUGAAACUGGAGUCAGAUUUAAGGCAAGUAUCCUAUACCCUUCUUUUGGAUAUCUUGCGAUUAUUCUGAUCCAUUCUUUUCGUAUGUGUUGCAAAUAUUCGUUCUUCUCUUUUCCAUAUUUGAAACUGUAAAUAUUUUAUCCAUCCUUUUCUAAUCCUCAAAAAAUACAGAUAAUUCCAGUUUUACAAAUUAAUUCGAAGUUCAGAUUGUCAUUGAAGCAUGUGUUGCUCAGUGAUGGUUAGAACCUAGAAUGACUUGGGAUCUUCUUGAUUAUUCAACCCGCCAUUGUCAUGCUGGUUUAGCAGGCUAAAUUCAGUUGCUUAGCCGAUAAUGGAGGAUACUGAAUAGUUAAGGAUUUCCUGAACUAUGAUUUAUGAAAGGAUGGACUCUGGUUUAUGAAAAGUUGAUUAUCAAAGUUUGAUUUGGAAUUAUUCUAUCAUUGAUAUUGAUUGUGUUUAUGUUCUGUUGUUAUACGUUGACCUGUUAUUGAAUUAUAGAAUUGGAUUAUUGUUUUUAUAUAAACCUGUGGACCAGAUUCGUGGUCAUGUUAGGCCAAUGAGUGCCUUGGAUCCAGUGAUAGAGCAUGGCGGGGCCUGCUCGGGGUUAGUGCGGAACUGAUCAGCUGCCUAACCUUGGUUUUAAUUAAAAUGUGAUAGUCCAAUUCAAUAAUUCUUUGGAAAGAUUGAAUUUCUCAGUUUAAAUGCUGCAAGGUAUUGUAAAUCAUUCUAUACAAUACCAUGAACUCAUGAACUCAGGUUGAAUCCUCUUAUAUCUUGAACUCGUGAACUUCUGUUAUAUCAUUUCAGAACUAUCAUUGUUUAUUAUUACUUGCUGAGCAUUGUUGCUCACCCUUGCUAUUCCUUUCUAACCAUUUCAGAAAGGCUUAAAGAUGAGAUGAUUGAUUGAGAUUGUGAAUAAGGCUAAUGCUAGGCGAGGAGACAGAGUUGAGGAUCCAGUGGUCGAGGAGUGUUCAGGAAAGUUGAUGAGGUUGGUGCAAGCUAGAGCUGUGCUAUAGGGAUUCAAGUGUAAGUCAUAGCUGGAAUAGUUGACAGUGAUUCUUCUUAUCGAAGAUGAUCUGAUUUGGUAAGAAAUGUUGUGUAAUAUUAGUGGUGGAUUCUAAUUUCAAUACUGUAACCUGGAUGCGAUCCUGUUGCUUUUAGGGGGUUGAAAUGUUCU
rnacentral:lncRNA from 1 species